rnacentral:rRNA from 1 species
GUAGGUGGCAAGCGUUGUCCGGAAUUAUUGGGCGUAAAGCGCGCGCAGGCGGUUCUUUAAGUCUGAUGUGAAAGCCCACGGCUCAACCGUGGAGGGUCAUUGGAAACUGGAGAACUUGAGUACAGAAGAGGAAAGCGGAAUUCCACGUGUAGCGGUGAAAUGCGUAGAGGUGUGGAGGAACACCAGUGGCGAAGGCGGCUUUCUGGUCUGUAACUGACGCUGAGGCGCGAAAGCGUGGGGAGCAAACAGGGACUAGAUACCCUGGUAGUCCACGCCGUAAACGAUGAGUGCUAAGUGUUAGGGGGUUUCCCGCCCCUUAGUGCUGCAGCUAACGCAUUAAGCACUCCGCCUGGGGAGUACGGCCGCAAGGCUG